CACGUGUUUCUGUGAGUUCAUUAUCACUUUUACUUCUCAUCUUCUACAUUCUUCAAUCACACUCUCACGCACUUCCAUCCUCCGUCUUCUCUACUAUGAUUCUUAGGUGUAUGGAGCAGACACAACACGACGAUACUCCUAGAUCUUACAUAUCCAUAAGCUACCACAUUAGCUGCAUGGGCCAAAACAAUUUAACAAUUGCUGAUUGAGUACACAGCAAAGAGCACAUCCCCAGAAGGCACUCUUCUUUUUGUUCCCUUUGAAAAAGAAUCAAUACUCAUAUCCGAUAUCCAAACGCAGCCGCAGGUACAAAGAACAAAGAGUGACAUUUAACCUUCCAGUCCUUUGCAACUAUUUUUCAAUCAACAAAUACUAAAUUAAUUUCUAAAUUUUACUGGGGUAAAUAUUCUACAUCGAUGGUGAACUCUCACUGAUAAUGAGGACCAACAUUUCUGCUCAAUGGCGCGCUCAAAUUAAUCCAAUUCGACGUUAUGGUCACCGAUCACACUGGUUCCACAAUAGCCUCCAUUUCAGAUCAAUCAGAAGAGAAGAUGUUGAACCUUACAAAGACAAGAGAUUUAUGACGUCUGCCGCGCAAAGGUAUUUUACAUGAUCGAAUUUAUAAACUUAAGCCAAUCAUCAUAACUAACUAACUUUCUUAAUGCAGAGAA